GUUCCCGAAGGCACCUUCCUCUCGCGCGCCCGACCCGGCCGCCCCUCCCCGCCCCGGGCUGCGGCGGCUCCCGGGACCCAUCGGGGCGCGGCGCGCGAACUUUCCGCCGGGCGCCGGCCCAGCGCCUCCCCGCCCCACAUCUCUGGGCCGCGUCCCCGGCUUCCCCCAAGGGGCUAGUCCCCUGAGGCUGCGCCUGGCCCCCUCCGGGACUGGAUCAUGAUAGCGAAUUAGGGACGUUCAGGACUUGGUGUCUGCAGCCUCCUCCGACCGCUCUGGGCCUGCCCUAUGUUGUCUGUGCUACAUCGACGGAGGGCCAAUGUCUUGCUUCUGUCGGCGGGAGGAGGGAGGUAUGGAGCGGGGAGAAACACAAAGAUGCUAUUAUUGUUUCGGUUGGUAGCAGUAAAUUAAAUUCCCGAGUUCCCAAAAUGUUUUGUUAUUCCCCAGCAGAGCGAAAGCCGAGAUAGGGGCCUACAGAUUCAGGAGUCCUGGGUUCGCCAGCACCCCUCAGGAAUCCCAGGCAGCCAAUUCAGGCUGGGAGGCACAGCCCUCUCCACACCCGAAGGCCUUUAGGCCAGCCUUGGUCUCGGAACGAUCAGCUAGGACUGCUGCUGCCUUGUGCGGCCUGAGGGAACGUGCACGGGUCACCCCAAUGGUGUGUCUGGAGCAGCGAAUACAGAAGUUGCUGUAAGUGGAUUUAUUGGCAACCCCUAACCUCGCUGUGGCAAACCCGCCUUUAAAGACAACUGUGUUUUAAAUAAGUUCCUCAUAAAAACUUCAACCUCGUGCAGAGCUUCCCAGUACUGUAAAGAUACCCGGCGAUAAGUAUCCAUAUUUAAAGUUCUUAUGAGAAGAGACAGGAAGCAAAAUGCCACACAAUCUUUCUAUGUAAAUAAAAGAUGACUCAAGUUUGCUGGAUUUUUCAUCCAUAGUUUCAAAGGCCUGAUAUUACUGUGCUGAUAUUUGAGCAAUAAACAUAUCAACAGCCUUGAAGUCUUCCUGAAACAAAGCAGGAUAUGAAUAUUUAAAAUAAAAUAUAAACUUGUUAAACCAGAAAA